GUUGGAAAUAGUUCUCUGCCCCUACUGUCAAUUCAACAGCAAUAAAUAAAACACCGCCAGCCAGACGAAAAGCUGACCAAAUGCGACAUAAAAUGAACAGUUUCGAUUUACUGACAUGACAUUUCACAGAGCUACAUACCAUAUUUUUGUUCGACUUUACAAUAUGGGCCGCACUCCGUUUAUUAUCAGACCAACCUGAACCAAAAUCCUAUCCGGUGAACAGCUCUGUUUAUCUUGUUUAUUACCACAAGAGAAGUUUAUUCUCCACUUCAAAAACAAAAAACCAAGCCAGCCUUAUUUUGCCAGCUUUUUACAAUUUGCUGAAAUUACGUAUUUUCCUGUCAUUGUAGUUAAUCCUAUUUUGUCAAAGGAUUACAUGAAAUUCCAUUCAGUUUACGAUUUUAUUUCUGGAUUAUUAUUUGGGAAAUCGAAGGCUUUUCAGGGUUUAAAUCUUAAUUUUGUCGUCAUUUCACACUUGUUUACUUUGAGGGUUUUCUGUAGCUAACAGUCUCUGGUGAUUUCAAGAUUUUCCUACCUGAAGUCACCAAGGAAAUAUUCUUUUGAAACAUAACAAAAGAGUUAGCGGUUUGUAAACAAUGUCAUAAUUAACAGCACGGUGUGGUUAUUUUCCAACAAUAUAUUUUCUCUGUAUGAAUAAACUCUAAAAAAUCAGUUAUUCUGAUCGAUCAGUUAUUUUUACGCAACAUUUGAAAAAAACUUAUUUACCAUUUAUGCAAAAACGCGUUACUUACUUUAUGUAAAAAUUGCAUUCGAACGUCACGAAAAAAAUAAGCUGUCAAGACUGAAUCUUAAAUCUACAAGAGCAUUAACUUUUUAAUUAAAUAGUCGUUCAAUCAAUAAUUGAACAUUUAUUUUCGUAUCAGUGUAUUUUUGUGUUGCAUUCGAAUUUUGUUGGUUCGUCAUUAUUUUGGUUAAACAUACCGCGCUAAGUUAAGCUUACUAUUUUGAGGCGAAAAAGUUAUUUCAUUUUUUUUCAUCUUCAAAAUUUGAAACAUAAGUUAUAUAUUCAUUUAAAUUUGAUUAUUCUCAUAUCAAUGGAUAAAAGUACUUACAGAUACGAGUUCGCAAUUUUACGAUUCCGAGCUUUGUUUGGAACAGAAUCAUUCGACGAAGUCACAUUUGCCGCCAAAUGUCAGCAAUGUAUUUUCGGCAGUUUCAACAAAGAACGCAGUUUCUUCGAAACGGUUAAAAAGAUCAAAAUAUUACCUGAAAAUCCAACCCAAAUAGACUACGUUUCGAUUAAACUACCAGGGCAACGACGAGCGUUGAACUUCGAUAUCGGCUUUCAACCCAUCGGCUAUUCGAACGACCAAGUCAGAUACUUUCGCAUAGUGGUAGCUGCUCAAAUGGACGACAGUGUCACAUCGUCGAAUAAAAGCAAAGAAUUCUGUGAAAACAAUGGCCUAAUAAUCAUAAACAAUUUAUUUUCGUUUGCCCAAAUGGGCUACGAUGAGUCGCAGGGCUGCGCAGAGACCGACAUUAUUAAUUUCCUGAAAGCUAAUCUGAAGUCUUAUGGUAACUGAAUAUCUCCAAAUAAAAAAUCAUAUUGCUAUCAAGUCUGGAGUUCUUCAUUUAAAAACUGAAACAAAUACCUAAUUAUGUAAAACUUUCUAGUCACAUGCUCAAAAAAAUAUCUUCUGCGUUGCAAAUUCUAUUCAAAUAUAUUUAAUUAAAGUU